rnacentral:lncRNA from 1 species
GCCGUCCAUCCAAUAACAGCUGUGCAGUUGGAAUGGUCCUUGUGGUCACGAGAUGUGGAGGAAGAGAUUGUCCCUACUUGCAGGUAAGACAUUAUUUGGGCCAAAUGAAUUGUUUUGACCUAGUUGAAAGGAAAAGAAAUUAUGAGUAGAUGAUUUAACAUUUGCAUGCUAACGCAAUUUUGGUGGUUGCUCUGCUCAGGGAACUUGGCAUUGGAAUUGUUGCGUACAGUCCUCUAGGAUGUGGCUUUCUUUCAUCCGGACCAAAGUUGGUUGAAAGCAUUGCACCGGAUGAUUCUAGACAUGUUCGUAAGCCUACCAUGCAUUUAUUAUUCGAUGUCUGCAAGCAUGUUUAAAACCUUCUCUCAAGAUACUCUACAGUGACUUGCAUACUAUUUUAUCUUAUAAACCUCUGAUAUUUAUCUAGAGCCAUAGUUAUAGUUAUUCUAACCUAACCCGGUAGGACUUGUUUAAGAAUUCUCUUUCUUAGAUACUCUACUAGUUCAUUUCGAUCGACUAAUUACACUGAAGUUGCCUGUGUAUGGAUUGCAUGGAGAGGAUUGAGGAAAAAUGAAAAUUCAAUUACUAAGGACUGAAUACACUGUAAUCCUUUUUGAAGUGACUUGUCUACCAAAACUUAUUCAUCAUUAGCUAAAUGUUUGGUGUUUACUAAUCAUGUAUUUUUACUUUCAUCAUAUUUGCAUUACUUGUCUUCUUUAUUACACAUUCAUUCUCAUUUAGCAAUACAAUAAUAAUUCUUGUUUAGUUUUACUCUAUAGCUCUGAAAUUCUUCAUAGAUUUCAAUUGUAUAUUUGUCUCAAUCAUGCAUGUUAAACUAUAUUAGUUUGUUAGCCUCUGGGUAGCUCGGCUGCCAAUGAAUAUGAAACACAGAAUAUUUAAAAAUACAGGCAUGGGUCACUUCGGUGGGUGAGGUUUCUGUUAUUAUGUACUAAUUCUUUUACUUGUGUUGUUUCGUAAGAUUGGGGAACUCAAGAAACUAGUUGAAGAGGGUAAAAUAAAGUAUAUAGGUCUAUCGGAGGCUUCUGCUUCAACAAUUAGACAAGCUCGCCGUCCAUCCAAUAACAGCUGUGCAGUUGGAAUGGUCCUUGUGGUCACGAGAUGUGGAGGAAGAGAUUGUUCCUACUUGCAGGUAAGGCAUUAUUUGGACCAAAUGAAUUGUUUUGACCUAGUUGAAAGGAAAAGAAAUUAUGAGUAGAUGAUUUAACAUUUGCAUGCUAACGCAAUUUUGGUGGUUGCUCUGCUCAGGGAACUUGGCAUUGGAAUUGUUGCGUACAGUCCUCUAGGAUGUGGCUUUCUUUCAUCCGGACCAAAGUUGGUUGAAAGCAUUGCACCGGAUGAUUCUAGACAUGUUCGU